GCUGGAGAUAAAUCAGGUAAUCAUUCCCCUGGAGGAGCUGCAGUACCAUCAGCGCUCACCUGUCUGCUCAGCAUCAGAGCCAAGCCCGUCCUCCCUCAGGCAGCUCCAGGUAUGAAUUGCACAUUUGGGGUGCUUUGGGAGAGGGGGGCCCUGGCAAUGAUGAGAAGCACUGGCAAACUCAGGCGUGGAUAAACACUGGAGAAAUAGGUGUUUAACUGGAGUGCUUUCCCUUAGAGAGGAGACCCUGCCAGGUGGGCCAAUUGCCCCAAAGGAUCUGUGUUCAGUUCCCUGCUUUGCCUCUUUUUCCUGUGCCAUCAGUCUCUUGGUCUUUGUCUGCUGCCUCCCAGCACAUCCUUCAGUGUCCUGGUCUGUACGUCGAGAAUUAAGCAGGACUUCUUCUGUUUGUCCUGUCUGUUCAAGGGAUGGGAUGGAAAGCAGGGCAAGAAGUGAGCAGUAUUUCCAUCUCCUCUGGCUCACAUCCCUGCACAGCUGCUGCUGUGGAGGAACACAAUCAUCGUUGUGGGGUGGUGUGGGCUCACCCUUUUCUCCUGCUCCAGGACAAAUCUGGGAGAGCUGGUGAGUCAGAGCUGUCUGCACCGGAGCUUGUCCUGGAGCUGCUCUGAUGGAGUUGCUGGCACCAGCCCUCCCUCGCGGCACUGCCUGCAGCUGCAGCUCCCCACUGCUUUGGGAGCAGACAGACAUUUCCAGCUCCUGGCUCUCUGCAUCUGUUCAGGAGCAGGAUAUUCUCCCAGGCUUUUGUCCGUGCAUCCACCACCUGUAAUGCUCAAGCUUGUAGGGCGUGAGCCACAGCACUCUGGUGCAAACCCUGCUUCCCCCUCUUUCCUUCCACUAACCAGAGCUUUCCCUAGAGCUGCUGGAUGUAAAUGAAGCCUUGCUGAGCUGAGGCUGUACCUGAUGCUCAGGGGGAGUUCUUCAGCAGCCAGAGAUGGAGCUUCCUUUGCCUCUGCCUUGCAUGCCUACUGCUUUGUUGUAUAAAUAAAAACCAAAUUGUUCCUUAUAGUUUGUAUUUUGUUUUGAUACUUGGUGGACUCAGAGCAUGCAGAGGAGGUACACACACAGGGAGUUCUCCAGCAUCCCAAGGGAGACCAAUAAACCUCUAAUCAGUGCUCUGGGAAAGAGGUCUCCUCUAGGUUGCUUUUGGUAUGUGUAUGACAGAAGGAUGUGAUGAUGCCUGCUUAAGAAAGGGCCCUGCUGUAGAUCCCAUCCCCAGAUCUCCCAGGCUGUUUUAAAAGACAAGGAGGAAAAGUCAUUUCAAGCUUUGCAAACUGCAGCUUGAUGCACAGAGGACUAAGAGCUCCAUCUGACCACCUUGAAAUGGUUAUCUGCUGCUCUGGACAAGACUGGGAGUUUGUCAAACUCCUGAAGAGGGCCAACACAUCAAACAGAAGGGUUGAGGCCAUUUGUGUCCUCUGGGGGCCAGAAGGACCCUGAAGACUGGACCCUGAAGACUGGAUGCCUUUGCAUAAACAACUGAAUUGAGCUGUCUUAAAUCAAACUGUCAGAGGAGAAGACUGAGACAAGAUCUCCUGCAGUAAAAGACUCGUGCCUGUUUCUGCAAAGGGCACUCACAUCACUGGAUAUUGUACAAUAUCAAAGCGUUUCUGGCCUAGGCUGCUAUGACAGCUCCUUAACAGAUAAGAAAAUAUGCCUUUAUAUUUGCCAUUUGAUUGUGAAAGGAGACAUUUUAAUCAACAUUUGUCAGCCUGUCUGAUGUGUAAGUUGUAUUUUAUUCUGUUACACCGCUCUUAUUUGUGUCCUACAGCCUGUUUGCUCACAAACAGCAGAGAUUAUCUCUUCUAUAGGGAAACUGUGGCUUUCUUCUUCUUAAUUGGGAAAAAUUCCUGCUGAAGUUCUGUCAAAAUUGAUGGGUCCCAGCUCAGGUGAGUGUCCUAGAGGUAAAAAAGGAAAAGGGGUCAGACACAAAAGUAUUUUAGAGCUAAACUCAGAACCAAGGGGACAGGGGUGGCUGGUGCAAGCGGUCCAAGAGACAGCCACCGUGUAGGAGGGACUGGGCCCCAAGGAUGUGAACCUAGUCAGACAUUGCUGGUGAAGAUGCGGGUGCAGUUGCAGCAAGGAUGUUGAAGAUGAUGGUAUUUGUGAGAUGCCCAGGAAAAAACAGCCCUGGAGGGCUGCUUCAGCCUUUCUUCUCCCUCCAUCUGCUUUUGACCUGCACAGUGAACCGUGCAACUCCCCAUCCUGUCCCAGCACCUUCGCCCAUCUCCUCUCUGUCAUGGGCACCUGCAAAUCCUACAUCCACCAGGAGAAGUGUAAGAACAGUCCUGCUGGGAUGUGGCAUGGGCCAGCUGAUGUUAUUUCCAUCCUAGGUAAAUAGGUGUUUUCAUGCAGGAAGGCACUUUGGGGUUAUGGUGACCUUGGAUAUGUUUUGACCUGUAAUUAGCUGGAGGCAGCUGUGCCUCCUGGAGAGGUGAUGUGCUCUGGGCUGUGUCCUUACCUGACUGUGUCCUAAAAUAGUCCUGUCGAUAGGGAUUCACCCAGGAUCAUGGAAGUGCUGUCUGCACUGUGUCCUGCAGCAUGGAGGAAAUGUUUGUGCAAUAAGUGUGUUGCUGCACAUCCUUCCCCUCAGACACACAGUCUGCAAUGCCUCAGCUUGAGCCCAGUGCCCUGGUCUGUCUCUGUGCUGCUGAUGCUGAGGAUGGAUUUGGUUUGUGCUAUGAAGUGUAAGCAAUGAGGACUCUCAGUGCUUCCCAAGUCUAAGAGAUUUCCAAAUUCCAAGUAAGUGCCUGGUGGCCCCCAUUUCUGCAAAAACAAAGCCAGCACCAAGGGCACCUGUUUAGGAGCAAAACACAGAGCAAGAUCUAAGGCCAUGGCUUGAUGCUAUUCCUAUGCCUUCUGUGACUGCUCAGUUAAAAGGCAUUUUUGCAGAGAAAAACGUGACACUUAAAAGGUAACAUAUUCUUUUCACCUUCCAGUUUCCAAUUCCGUUUGUAACUUUGCUCCAAGAAGUGAUCAGGGGCUGCUUUCUUUUCAGCUUAAAAUCUCUUUUUUCAUGCACUGGAUGUCAGCGCUCCCGAAAAGAUUAAAUAAGGCAGAGGUAAUGUAGAUUUAAAGAAUUUUCCAGAUGAAGUGCCAGAGCACUUUGAACUGAAGAAGAAAGAGGUUGCUGUGAGGGGACUGGUUGGUGCUGGGGGAAGGCACCGUGGAGAUUUGCUCAGCACACCCUGUGUAGGUAAAUGUGCCACGACUGUGGAGUCGUGGGGCUGGCAGAGCACUCCUAACUGCACUGUGGGGCACAGAGCAGUGCUUACAGUGUGCUGACCAAAAGCCACGUAACAGGACUCUGUCCAGUAAUGUCUCUGGGGAAAGGUCCUUCCUCAGAGGUGUGAGAGCUGCUGUCCACGACUGGGGUUGGAGGAACCUUGCUCAGCGGCCCUGGUGCUCUCACAUGACAUACGAGCAGCGCUGACGGGGCAGAGGGAACCUCCAUCCCCCUGAGCCCUUGCCCAGAGAUCCAACUCUGCCUAAAGAGCAAAACCCAUCCAAGGGGAGGUAGCAUGGGAGGAAAAGCUGGAAUUGCAACAAGUGUGCUUUCUGUGUGUGUUCUGUGGCUGUCUCAGCCAGGGAAGGGGCAUCGGAUGUCACCAGAGCCAAAUGUUGCUGCUACUGCCAGAAAAAGAGCUAUCAAGGGCAAUUUCUCCUUCUUGUCCUCCAAGGGAAAGAUUUCACCCUGCUUCAGCACUGAGGAUGUCUGGGCAAGAAGAUGAGCUGCCACAAAGGAUAAAUUACUCCUGUUAUCUCCAGAUGGAUCAGGUCUCUGACUGAUGAUACCAGCCCAUGGGGAGGAAAGUUCCAGGGAGAUUUGUGGAAGAACUUGCUCUGUAAUGCUCUCAGAAGUAACAGCUCUUCCAACAUUCCCAGACCAAAUUAAUUCAUGAAAAAUUUCUGGCAGACUAAGACUCCUGGGGUGGAGGAUUCUCACUGUUCUGGGCACGAGGCUGACUCCAAGCAUGGAGAAUCACACCUUGCAAAGGUUCAGGGUGAGUACAUCAGCUCUGAUGUUACCUGUGGCCAGCCUGCUGAAGUAUCUGCCAUGAAGGCGUUCAACACUCUGUCUCAUGGGCUGGGAACCUGCACAGACUGUCCAGGCUGGAAGUCAGAUGGGAGAACAGGGUGAUGCUGCUCUGGGGUCUGUUCCCAUGAGAUGCCAGCCUCAUGUGGCAUAGAUGUCAAGCAGCUGCUGCACUUACAGGGCUUCUUGCUUCGUGUUUCUGGGCUUCUCACUGUAUCCAAACUGCACAACUAAAACAUCUGUCUUCUGGCUUGGAUCUGACCUGGAAGCAAAACUAGAUACUAUGUUCAGAUCACCAGAGCUCAGAGGGCUUCAUCUCCAAUUCUGAUCUUUUUAUUAUCUAUUUAUUCCUCAUAUACAGUUAAUAAUUUCUGCCAGAUGCUAAAAACCCUUUGUGUCAUCUGAAACUUAGAAAACUAAUGGAGAGGAGGCUAAUAAAUACAUACAUGCAUAGCACUGCACCAUAGCUGCCUGCUCUUAGAUGAUUAUUGCAGGGACCCCCAAAUUUCAUGCUGCCGACAUAUAUUUAGACAUGAAUAUCAAUUUGAGACUUCAGUUCUGAUCAUGCUAGAUGACUCUUAACAACCAUGACCAACCUCUCCUCAAAUCAUUACCAUUCGUAUAGCCACAAAAGGCAAACUUGAUGAGAGAAUGAGAAGCUAGUAGGGUCUCAGGCUAAGCAUACAACAGUGGGAUAGCUAUAAAUGAACCUUUUCAACCAUAAAUUACAUGUGGCCAGUAAUUCCCUUUUCUCCCUCUCUCCCUCCCUCUCCAUCCUCCCCCUCCACUCUGAAAACCCUAGGACAAAGGCUUGCCUCUCUGAAGGAUGCCUUUCUGGAGGAUUAAGCAGCUUUUGUUGACAAAAUACAAAUUACAACUCCUUUGCUUGGUGUCCCGCCUUCUCAGCUGGGCUCCGGUCCCUGAGGGACAAGGCUCUAUUACCCCUGCGUAGAUGAAGAGCUCAGAAUAGGCAGAUGUAAUUAUUAACACCAUUCAAUGGAGUGUCUUUCUGAAUUAUCAAUUAAAAAUCUCUACUGUUUUUUCCUCACACUAAAUAGAAAGCUGACAGCAGUUACUCUACUGUGCAGCAGAGCUUUAUAUGCAUAUUUAAACAGUGUGCUUCUCUGCUUUUUUAUUCCAGGGGCAGUGUGGGGUGAGAGGGACUCCCAUGAGGUAGCACAAAGACCCCUGUCAUUUGAUUGAGAGAAGAGUCUUUGGAAAAAUAUUGUCGCCUUCCACCCUGGCAAACAGGUCCCGUGGAGAUAUCCAAACAGGCCUGAGAUGCCCGAUAUUGUGGGAGAUGACAAACGAGCAUUCCCUGCUCAUACACCACAGUGUGUCUGAGCAGCUCUUUUGACAUGCUGCUAUUAAAAUGCAGAGUUCAUGGGCAACAGACACAUGAGCAUGGAGUGAAAACAGAAAUUAAGCAAUGUGAUUAAAACCAACAGCCACGCCGAGCUGGGCUGCCAAGAGCUGUCAGAUUUUGGCUGAGGGGGAAGACUGAUGCACUGGGUUUUGGGGAAGGGGCUGCGAGGAUGGCUCAGGAGCAGGAGAUCAUGGGUAGAGUUUUGUUUUGCUGCCCCGCAAGUACAUCUCCAGUUCUCACCAGAAUAAACUGCCUUGCAAACCUCCCCAGACAGCCUGUUCCAACUCUGUUGAGAGCUUAAAAAUUUCCAUUGGUGGUACCUGGAUGUUGAGCUACCACUUAUUUAUUAUCAUGUACCAUUAACCACAAGUUACCACUUGUCAGCUCCAAAGUCCAGCCCUAACAUUCCUAAAAAUAAUUUUUUUUCUCAAAUUUUUUUUUUGAGCAACUUCUCUCCAGUCAUAGGGUUGAACCUAUUGCCUGCACAGAGCAAAACACUGAUACAUUGCUAAAUAAUAUAAAUUUUUAAAAUCUGUAUGUAUUGUGUAUGUCAUCUUUUUUCAAAAUUGUGAUUCCCACCAAAUCCACAAGUAGAGUGAAACAAAUUUUUAAACAUUGGAAAAGUGGCAUUAUGCAUAGCAGGAAUUUCCCUUCAAGGGUUUCAAUUUCCCCUUGGAGAAGUGGUGUCAACUGAAAAAGCAUCCAAAGAAAGACAAAACGAGCCAAAUUUGGGAGUAUCUCUGGGCUUGGAGAAGUAGAGUUAAAAAUGCUAUAUCAGGCAGAAAAAAUAAUAACUGCUAAGGAACUGGAAAGCAUUUGGGGCUGGACAUGUGCCUUCAGCAGUUUAGAAGCUUAUUUUAUUAGCACUUAAGUCCUAGAAGUAGCACUGAACUCUUGACAUGUUGGACCACUUCCACCUAUUGCCUAAUGCAACCCCUAUUCUCUUUUUCUAACUCUUCAGAGUUACCUAAGAGCAUGCAAUACCUGGGCUGGCAAUUUUUUUUUCCUUCUUCUUUUUAAUGAUUUGGCUCCCCUUGCCCCCAAAAGCCAGACCCCGGUAAUGGACCCUAAUGCACAUGCAAGUGUUCCCAAGCUGCACUGCUCUGCUCAAAAGCCUUUCUCCAAGAUGGAUAGCAUUUGAACUUUGUCCAAUUUUUCUUAUGUGGUAUGUGCCCUUUAUUUACUCCGUCAUGUAUAUCUCACUCCAUUUAAAAUAUUCACAGUUUGUUUUCAGAGCUAUCUGGCUGGCCUUCAGUCUGGAUUUAACAAAUGUUAGACAUUAUAUUCACUUGCAUAUAUCAGAUUUUGUCAUGAACCAGAAGGAGAAAAAAAGAAUUAAAAAAAUUGCUGUCACCAUGAUUUAAAUAACAUGUUCAGAUCCUUUAUUUUUUUGUUUUAAAUGCCUUCAUCUCUUGGCCUUAUAAGGUGCAGACUGUCUCACACUGAACUCUAGCUGGGUGGCCUCAGUCAGCCAACAGCCCUGCAAGCUCAUCCCAUUAAAGUCAUUAUGUUUACUUCUUAUUUCAACAAACCAACCUGGAUUUUGAGGCAGGAAAAAUUGAGGGAAGAAAUCCUAGGUCCGUUUCAGAGAGAAAGGGUGUGAAAUUCAGUUGCUGAUAGGCUGCAAAAUGAAAGCUCUCUGCAUUUGCUACUAAAAAUGCCUUUAAAAAAAAAAAAAAAGACAAGGGCUGUUCCUAUCCUUAUAAAAUCUAAGGGACCAAUCAGUUCAUAUCUGAGUACCACCAGUUAGAGCACCUCUGCACCAGACCUCUGGUCCCACUCCAUGAGGAGAGUGUGUGCCUUCAUAACAGCACUGAUAACCUCACUGAAAUGCUUUCAGGGGUUGGGAACACUGAGGCAUGGGCCCUUCAACAGAGAAUUGCUGGACAAGUCAGGAAGUGGACUCUGUGAAGAGCAGUGGACUGGAGGGGGACUCAAGGCUCAUGUGCACCAACAAGUAGCACCUUUCACACUUGGGACACAGUUUUGCCUCAUUGCACAGGGGAUGCCUCUGGUGCCGCAUAGACACAGUGAGACUGUGAUCCUUCUCCCAGGAAACUGCAGUCCAGGAGUCAGAGAGAAAGGACCAGAACCUGCAGACCUUGAGGCUAAAGAUGCCAGUGCAAAGGAAGGUGAUUGGAUGGCUGCAUAAAGGGGAAUGAAAUAAUGAAAACAAAGAAACCUGGGUUCCUGGUAGAGUGCUCUUGUUACUGGGCUGGGCUCAAUGUCCUCACUCCCAUUGCUGAGUGGCUGUGCCAUCAUGUCACUUAAUUUCCCCAUAUUAUCUCCUACAUUUUUCCUGGGGCAGGGGUGAGUUCUCAGUGAAGAAAGGAGCCCUCAGCAGAAUGGUUCUCCUGGACUGCAUAUAAAAAGCCACAAGUGGAUACUUGGGAGGUGUGAGGUAAUCCCUUCAGAGGUGGACACAGCCCCAGCUACCUGUGACUUCCCCGGGGCUGCCACCAUAUGCCUGAUUUCCCUCCUGUCCCACAGAUAAAUAGGACAACAAAAGGAGGAUUGAGGAAUUGACUGGAUGCAGUGUCCACGUACAUUCCAGAGAUACCGGGCACUACAAGAGCUUUUCAAAUUCAGCCAGAGAGCAGCACUAUAACAACCAGGAAGAAGAAGCUCGGCCUGGAAUUUCAGGGCAGUCAAAUUCACAGAGAUAAAGCAUGGAAAAGCAGUUAAAAUAAUUAAAACAGCAAGGCCAAUUAACCCAGAGCACAAAAUAUGGAGGGGAAGCAUAAAAAUAUGGAGGGGAAGACAUUUUCAAAUCUAUUUCCAAAUUCUUAAUUCAAUCAAACUUCUUUCAGGAAGGCAUGUUUUGAUCAUAAUAAAAGCGAUUUGUCUCAACAGGAGGAAACCAGGGUGAAAUCCCCACGGAUAGUGAUUUCCAAAAGACCUCCCCAGCUGAGGAAAUGGAUCUUUUUGAGUUUAACAGUAUCCUGAGUUCUUCAUUGUUGAGAUUUAUUUUAAUAAACUCAGUCCUGUCAGUUGUGUGCAAGAAGUGUCAGCACUAGCCUGGCAGUUUAUAGGAGAACUUUGUCCCACAAUGUCUCUGUACACAGCGAGCAAGAGAAGAGGGAGGAGAGAGUGCUGAAGUGACUCACUCCAUGGAGCUGGAGAAGAGUCCCAGCAAUGUCUCGUGGAAAGCUGCACCCUGCCACUGCUUGCAGUCGGGAAGAAUUGCUUAGCAAGCACUUAUGAGGUGAAAUAGCAAAGCAGCAAAUGCAAAUGGUUGAGCUGGAUAAACAAAAACAUCCCCGAAGCAAGCUCUGGGAAAAUGGAUUCAGGCUGCUCCAUCCCAGGGCUGUAGACUGCAUUCCUCCUCAGCAGCAGGAGCUGGCCUUGCUGCUGGCUGUGCAGGAAGAUACAGCCUGUGUUUGGAGAGGCUCUGCAGCCACUGGGAGGAAUGUGCUCAUGUACCAGCUCAAACACAGUACAAGACCCAGCACCUCUGCAGCUGAAAUUAAUGUUGAUGUACUGUUUGUAGCUUUAUCAAGCGCCAUGGCCUCAUGUCUCUGCCCUGUGGAGGAGCUGCCCAUCAUUCACCUGACACCUAAGUUAACUGAUAGUUUCCUUGAGGUCCUUGAAGGCUGAGCUGAGCAAGGUCUGACCCUCCAUAGCCAGACUCAUCCACUGUGACCCUCAGCUUUCAGAGAACAUGAGCUGAAUUUGUUGCAUCAGGAGCCUGAUACUGGGCUUUUCUUUUGGUGUUGGACUGCAUACCCACAUAACAAGGGACAACAGCUGAAAGAGACUUGAUUUAGAUUAGAUGUUAGGAUGAAAUUCUUUCCUAUGAGGGUGGUGAGAUUCUGGAAGAGGUUGCCUAGAGAAAUUGUGGGUGCCCCAUCCCUGGCAGUAUUCAGGGCCAAGCUGGGGCUUUGAGCAAACUGGUCUAGUGGAAAUGUCCCUGCCCAUGGCAGGGGUGUUGGAAAAAGAUGAUCUUUAAGGUCCCUUCCAACACAAACCAUUCUAUGAUUCUACGACAUACAUGCUGCAUAGAGACUGAUGGAUCUCUCUCUGUGACUGCCACAGAAGACAUAAUUUCCCAGCUUUUGUUUGUAGGUGAGGUGGUGCCUGUUUCUUCUCUGCAGAGGUGCCAAGCAAAGGCAUUGCUCUGACUGUCCCCAGGUCGCUCAUGGAUAUUGGGAAGCAUAUCCUGAACCACAGCACUUGGUAUCACUUUGCAUCCUGCCAGUCGUUGUGCAAUCAUGUGUCUCUGAAUUCUGUGAAAGCACCAGAACUUGGUUUCCUACCAUAACCUUCCAAACAGCAAAGCUCAAAGGUGUAAAAUGUGAUGUUAUAAUGUGCUGCUGUUUACAUGGCAGCUUUAUCAUUCAUAUUUCACUGUGGCUUGACAAGAAUCCAGGCUGCAUAGUCCUUGAUUGCAGCUGUUGCAUCCCAGGUUUGAAAACUGGGACCAUCAUUGAAUUACAUCAUUAGAGCAUUCUCAAUGCUCCCAGAACUUGCUGCUGUUAAUAUACAGGUUUUUUAAAACAUGCACAGACUGGUCUGCAUAUAAAGAGCUCCUGUAACAGAGGCACAUGUAAAACUAGUGUCCUUCCUCUGCAACUAACUUCAGUUUUUCCCCAGAUCAGCUCAGCAUUUUGGAGUACCACUAGAAUUCCAAUCCCAUGGCCUAACACCUGAGCCAGGCCUUUAGAUCCAAGGGACUCGCUCAGAAAUGUUGACAUCUCACUGUAAAAUCAAGCCUUUAAUAUCUAAAUCAACAUCUGAGCCUCAGCCUCACACAUACGAUUUUACAUUUCCCUGUAAUGUAAAAGCCUAGCUGUCCCUUUCUUUCCUAACUGAAAGCUGAAUUUUCCUACUCAUCUCUUUAUGCCAGCUGAUGGACCUUCAGCAAAACCACAGAACAUCGUGAGACCUCCAGUAAGACCAUGACAUAUCUGUCUGCGUAUAUCUGGAAAAAGAAUGUGGUCAAACUUGGGGGAAUGACUUCACAGCUUUUAUUAAAGGGUAGCGUAAUCCUCCCCUGGAUAACUGGGGAACCAUUAGAACAAGAAAUAAGCAGUGAUGAGCUGUUCCAGUUUGAGUGCUGUGGUUUGGAAGUUUUGACCCAUGAGAUAUUAAUUUCUCAGUCUAAUUACAUGAAAAUGUAUAAAUAUGAGCACUGAUGAAGAAGAGAAGCAUUCUGCUGAAAGGUGAGUGGUACUGAGUUCCCUCCCUUUUUACAAGGAAAAAAAGGUUCCUACCCUCUUAAGGGAUACUGCACAUAAUAAUAAGAGUACAAUAUAUGGAAAAAAUACAUGCACUUCCAUUUCACUAUUGUUCCAUUUUACUGCUGAGGUGGGGAACGAAGAAGUUAAAUGUUGUGAGGUCCUUUUGUGACGGUGGAUUUGGACUCCAUUGGGUCCAUCCAAUGAAAGCAGUAGCACUGUGGACCCUCAGUGCUGGGUGUUAAGUGUCAAAAUUUGGGUGGUAGAACUGCCACCAUGUUUGACUGUGUAUAAAGAAGCCAUGCCCAUGUUCAAGUGGCCAGCCUGGAUGGCUUGGGGCUCUUAGAGACUCUAAUCAAAGUGGGACAGGAAUUAUGCUGUGUUGUACAUAAUUAAGAGUAAUUUCUCUGAACCUCCUGUUAUUGUUCUCUAAAAAGUAUCAGAGAAACCUUAAUUACUUGCAACAACAACACUAAGGAAAACCCCCCAAACUACUGGAACAAUACCAUGUAGAAUAACGUGAAUUAAUUGUUAAAUUUAGUACCUCCAUGAGAAAUGCUCUAUUGAUAGCUCAGAAUUGCUCUGCCUGGAAACCACCUGAGCACUGCCUUAUUUCUAGACAUCUGUCAACACAGUUAUUAUCUAACAACAAGCAUAACAUGAAAAUAAUCGUUCUGUUUAGGGCAGGAACAUUAACUGACUGACAUUAAAUUGCAUCAAUAUCAUUAUCUCCUGUUGACUUUUUGAUAAUACGUUGAUGAACAGUUUGUGUUUUCCAGGGUGGAAAAACCUUACUUGUUUCUUAGCAGGAACUCUGCACUAAGAAGUUUUUUUUAACAGACUUCAGUCUUCUGCAGAAUGAAGAUUGGUAUGGUAGUAGAAUAACAGCUGGAUACCCACAACUCAGUUCACAGCCUGUCCAGCCUAAUUUUGAAGUUCUAGGCUGUUAAAGGUAUUUAAGCUCUUAAAAGGUGAAAAUAGGUGCUUCUUAGGUAUCUAAUUUAUACUAAAACUAAUGGGAAUUAGGCACCUUUCGUGGACUUAUCAAAAAUCAUAUAGGACUGCAGUAGCAACAGAAGCUACAAGUAACUCUAAAAUUCUGGCCUUUUUUGAUAUAAGGCAGGCUUUCCAGAACCAGUCAUUUUUAUAAUGUAAGUUUUUCCCAAAUGUUCAUUUUUCUGAGAGCCCUAGUACUCCCAUCCUAGCUGAAAAACCUCCUCUUACAAAGUGUGUUAAUGUCUCACACAUUGCUCUUCUGUGUUUGAGGCUUUUGGUCAAAUGCCACUCAAAUACUUCAUGGACCUUAGAAGCUUUCCUGCAGCAUCAGGAGUUUCACAGAGCUUGGUGCGUAAUCCCAGAGAUUUUUUUGCCCUACUAUCCCAAUUUUCAGAAGAAGCCACGUUGCUCCUGAAUAUCACAUCUUUUUAAGGACGUAAAAAUACCAUCCAAGCACUUUUGAAAAAUAAUUUUUGGGAGCAUGAGGGUGUGUGUGAAUAUUUUCAAAGUUGCAGUUUGACUAACCCAGCCGCUGCUUAGAUCAUCAAACAGGCAUGUAUUUGGGACACAGAGGCACUACAGUCCUGGCGUAUUCAGCGCAGAAUCCUCAUGGUUAUGUGAAUAAUUAUCCCUUCAUACCGGCCUAGAAAUCUUGGACAGAAAUAGCAAUCACAGCAAGGGUGCUAAGAAAUAAUUUGUACCAUACAUCUGUUAAUGUCCCUUAGCCCAGCUGGAACCUGCAUGCUUUCCUCCCUGUCUUGGGUUUCUCGAAGUGUGUUGAUGUGUAUUUAAGCCACGGGAACAGUCGAGGCAAUCAGGCACGGGGGAGACAUGAACUUCCCUGGUAUGUUGAUUCCAAACUGUGAUUUCUGUUAUCAGGAUGGGUGAGGAAGAAAAGUGUCAAGUGUCACUUGAUCUCCUGUUCUCAGCUUGUCUGGCUAAUUCAGGGAGGAGCCUCUGAGGCCAAAGCCACCCCAAAUGCAGAAGACCUAGAAGACCAUUCAGACCAACGUUCUCCAACAGGUGUCCCAUGAGAGCAAGCACCUCACUGGGAUUACACUGAUGAUACACCAACUGGAUAUGACUGACACUGAGUUUUUGAACAGAGUGAGCCAAAAGAAGAGUUUCAUAUUUUGCUUCAUCUUGGUUUUGAGAAGGACAAGAAAAGUCCCUAAGGAGUGUCAUUUCAGGACAUUAAUUGUAAAGAUGCAAGAAGGGGAGAGUAGAACAAAGCACCUCAUAUGUGGGCGUGGUUUUCUCAGAAGGUUGAACUAGAGAUCUCCUGACAUCCCUUCCAACAUACAACAACCAAUUAUCUUGUAAGGAUGCAUAAAACAACCUCGAGAGGCCCUGUUGUCCAUUGACAAGGCUAUGAAUCUAGAGACCUGGUUUUGAUCUUGUCUCUCCUCUUGAACUGUUCCACAGCCAAGACUGAGUUGCCUUUCUCCUCCAUGCCUUAGAAUAAACUCUCAUAGAAAAUGAGGGUCCACAGUACAGCCCUCCAUUGUCGAAACAGUCAAAGAGCUACUGAUGAGAACUGGAAUGUAAUGACUGGGAUUCUGUUUCUGCCAGUGCACUAAUUCCAGAACCCACACCCAAACUUAUGAAAUUACCUGUUAAAUGAUGAGACAAAAUCAUUUGUUUUAUUCUUUUUCCCUGUAUUUGUGUCCCCUGGGUGGCAACAGUGGAAAAUGCUGGCAAGGAGAGCAGACAGUAGACAAGGUCCUAUUGGCACAAAUCUGAGGGUUUUGCCUGUGUCAGUGAUGUAAGGACACCAGUCUCCUUCAAGAGAUGUGGUUUAUCAGUGGAGCUUUUGCAGUGCCUGGGACGUCAGGCUAAUGGUCUCACAUACAGAUUCUGUAAGAUGCCUUUCAUUCAUCCAGCCAAACAGGAGCUGUGCUUGUGAUGCUUUCCCAAACUGAAGGGCAUUGCUCCAUGAAUGCAAGCAAUGUUAAAGCCUGAAUAAUACACACAGUCUUCCAUUUGCAAAUUGCCUCCACCUCUCCCUUUGCCCUCCCCACCAUGUGGUUUAGCUUUUGGCUCUGCAAUAGAUACUCUGAAUCAAUGUUAGCUUUCUGAGAGACUAACACUGAACACUGAAGGUCUGAGUCAAACCCAGCCAUGUUACAAGUCCAUUGUUGGACUGUCGCUUGUUUUGGUUAUUUUUCCCUGGAGUUUUGUUAGAGAUGAACUGGACCUUUUGGCAGCAUGGACAAGCACCUCUAUUUUGUCAUUUGGUGCCCCAAAGACAUCCAUGUACUAAUCAAUCCAAACAGGAAGCCAAAAUCUUUUUAAGAGAAGAGCAUAUUGUUCAUUGUAAAUGUUUGCCUCACCAUUAGUGCACAAAAGAGAAAGCUUGGAAAUGGAAAGACGAAGGAAUAAAAAAUAGCUUGGUAAUGCAGUUUACACAGGUACAUGCAGUGUAACUACAGCUUGUGGGAACUGUGAAGCACUGUCCUCAUCUGACGUGUAUUUCAGUUUUCAGCUCGGUAAAAUCCCAGCUUUUUAAACAAGCAAAAACUUGUCCUUUUUACCAGGCUGUAAUAAAAUAUUUGUGGUGGUUUUUAUGGUGCAAGCCAUCAUUCACUUAAUACUAUCUGAAGGUCAUUUCUCCUAGGACAGAUCACAGCACAUCUCCACACUAAGAUCCCAGAGCUUGAGACUGGUGCUAGGUUGUCCACAAAGACCCCCAGAGGCCAUGUUUGUUUGUUCUGAACGG